CCUACGGGAGGCAGCAGUGAGGAAUUUUGCACAAUGGGGGAAACCCUGAUGCAGCGACGCCGCGUGCGGGAUGAAGGGGCUUUGCCUUGUAAACCGCUGUCGGAUGGGAAAAAAAGUCUCCUCGGGAGACUGGGAUUGUACCAUCAAAGGAAGGACCGGCUAACUACGUGCCAGCAGCCGCGGUAAUACGUAGGGUCCAAGCGUUGUCCGGAUUUACUGGGUAUAAAGGGUGCGCAGGCGGAUCUGUGCGUCGGAGGUUAAAGACCCGGGCUCAACCCGGGAAGUGCCUUCGAUACGGCAGAUCUUGAGUACGAGAGAGGAUAGUAGAAUUCCUGGUGUAGCGGUGAAAUGCGUAGAUAUCAGGAGGAAUACCAGUGGCGAAGGCGGCUAUCUGGCUCGUAACUGACGCUUAGGCACGAAAGCGUGGGGAUCAAACAGGAUUAGAUACCCUGGUAGUCCACGCCCUAAACGAUGUAUGCUUGGUGUUAGGCUUCUAAAGCUUAGUGCCGGAGAAAAUUCGUUAAGCAUACCACCUGGGGAGUACGAUCGCAAGGUUGAAACUCAAAGGAAUUGACGG
rnacentral:rRNA from 1 species